rnacentral:rRNA from 1 species
UACGUAGGGUGCAAGCGUUAAUCGGAAUCACUGGGCGUAAAGCGUUUGUAGGCGGAAAUUUAAGUGAGAUGCGAAAUCUUGUGGCUCAACCAUAUAGACGGUAUCUCAUACUGGGUUUCUAGAAGAUAGCAGAGGUAAGUGGAAUUAGUAGUGUAGCGGUAAAAUGCGUAGAUAUUACUAGGAACACCAAUGGCGAAGGCAGCUUACUGGGCUAUAUUUGACGCUGAGAAACGAAAGCGUGGGGAGCGAACAGG